rnacentral:rRNA from 1 species
GACAGAGGCCUCGAGCGUUAGGCGGAAUCACUGGGCUUAAAGCGUGUGUAGGCGGAUGCCUAAGUACCUUGUGAAAUCCCACGGCUCACCCGUGGAACUGCUCGGUAUACUGGGUGUCUUGAGCCACUUAGGGGCUACCGGAACAAAUGGUGGAGCGGUGAAAUGCGUUGAUAUCCUAAGGAACACCGGUGGCGAAAGCGGCGUACUGGGUCUUAUCUGACGCUGAGGCACGAAAGCUAGGGUAGCGAACGGG